AUAUCUUCUCUAUUAGGGCAUGGCUACACUUGCAGUUGUAGAGUGCUGGGAGUUAAACCAGCCUUUGGAGACGGCAGCAGGGAAAACACU